CCCGUCACACCAUGGGAGUCGAUUGCUCCAGAAGUGGCUGCGCCAACCCGGCCUUUACUGAUCGGGGGGUAGGUCCCCAAGGAGUGCUCGGUGACUGGGGUG
rnacentral:rRNA from 1 species